AUCGCUUCUCGGCCUUUUGGCUAAGAUCAAGUGUAGAUUUGUGAUAAAAUUUUGAUGAAGUCUGUGUCAAAUAUUUUUAUUUUUAUAAUUUGUAAAUUAUAUUACAUACAGCCAAGUGUGUUAGUACACAUCUAUAAUAACAAAGCCAGGAGAUUACACAUCUGUAAGCCAGGCACGGUGA
ensembl:snRNA U2 U2 spliceosomal RNA